rnacentral:tRNA from 1 species
GCCGGUGUGGUGGAACAGGCAGACGCGACGGACUCAAAAUUCGUUCUGGGCAACCAGGUGGGGGUUCGACUCCCCCCACCGGCA